rnacentral:lncRNA from 1 species
AGCUAAUAGUCGGCACCAGUCUGGACAUCAUUGCAGGAGAAAGAUUCACUUCUCACGGAGAUGACUACUGCAGUUGCCCCAGCCUGUGUGAGGUCCCUGCGAGGGUCACUCUCCUGACAUCUUGCAGUAGGUGAGGACAAGGACAUAGCAUAUACCAUUUAAAUACGGAUAGUUUAACCUUGCCUAACAUUUCACCUUGGAUACUGUUGUUUUUUCAUAGCUCCCUUUUCAGAGCUAAUAUAGUAGCUUUAUGGGUGUGGAAGCAUGAUUUUUAUCUUGGCAUUGGUUUGAGGAUAAUCAGGUCAUCUGUAGAAAGCAGCCUGAACUCUGACUCCACUCAUUUAAAACCAAUGAUCUCCCCAGACUAUCUGCUUUGACUGUGUACUCCAGCAACUGAUGUUGAUUUAUAUGAAAAUCAUUUAUACUUUUUUUUUUUUUUUGUAAUUUUUGCCCAUUGUUUGCUGCAUUAAACAAGUUACUCUGCUGUAGUCAUGGUAAUUGUACAUUCUGGACUUGCUUCAGAUGCAUCUGUGCCUCAUGGGAGUCAGUCACAUGACAGCUAUACAGAGAUUUUUUUUUAUGUCAUCAAAUUGUGUCCUCUGUGCCUAUAUCUGAUGCAGGGGUCAUGAACUUUAGGUUCAGUAAUAGCAGAAAAUAGGUCUAGAUGAAGAGAGAGCCUUCUGGAGGAUUGCAUGGAUAGUACAAGCACAAAGAGAAACUGCUGACAACUAAGCUUUCCUAACUGUCAGGAGAAAGGCUGAGGAGAUGAAAUACUCUGCUCUGUUUGUGCCCUUCAGUACUAUCUCCUGUCUCCCCAGUGACAGACUCAGUAAACUUCCUGACAAUCUAAAUCCUUGCUUUGGGAAACAUAAGCCUAGGACCAUGGUGAACCAGCAACACCUUCUGAGACCAGCUUUUGGAGACUCUUACAGAAAUUUUGAUGCUGAGGUUUGCAGGGUGAAGAUUUUUUAAAGCAUUGUCUGUAUGUCCUGAGUCAUGGCACCGGCUGUCUGCAAAGCAUGGAAAAAUCUUGGUAAGGCAAGCACAGAGGGCAAAGCACAUUUGCUUCUGCCUCAACUACUGCAGAAUACAGACACAUCUGUGAUGCUGAGUCCAUGGGCUCUGUGUGUUAUAACUGAAUAUAUUUAAAUGUAGCCUUUGGCCUUGGGAAUGGAUUCUUUGAGCCCUGUGUUUCAGUCCUCCUUGGUCAUAUACAGUGCUAAGCAUAAUUUCAUCCAUAGUAUUUCAUCUGGAAACAAAUGAAG